rnacentral:rRNA from 1 species
GACUGCACCAUAUUUAUCUUAUCCACUUUUGCUAGUGAAGCAGAGUCAAGACUGGUAGGUACUUGGAUGGGAGACUACCUGAGAAUACCAGAGACUGUAGAGU